rnacentral:rRNA from 1 species
GACGAACGCUGGCGGCGUGCUUAACACAUGCAAGUCGAACGGAAAGGCCCUGCUUGUGUGGGGUGCUCGAGUGGCGAACGGGUGGGUAACACGGGAGUAACCUGCCCUUGACUUGGGGAUAACUUCAGGAAACUGGGGCUAAUACCAGAUAGGAGCUCCUGCUGCAUGGGGGGGGUUGGAAAGUUUCGGCGGUUGGGGAUGGACUCGCGGCUUAUCAGCUUGUUGGUGGGGGAGUGGCUUACCAAGGCUUUGAAGGGUAGCCGGCCUGAGAGGGUGACCGGCCACAUUGGGCCUGCGAUACGGCCCAGACUCCUACGGGAGGCAGCAGUGGGGAAUAUUGCACAAUGGGCGGACGCCUGAUGCAGAAACGCCGCGUGCGGGAUGAAGGCCUUCGGGUUGUAAACCGCUUUCGCCUGUGACGAAGCGUGAGUGACGGUAAUGGGUAAAGAAGCACCGGCUAACUACGUG